rnacentral:lncRNA from 10 species
GUUGAGUAAACUCUCCCACUCACGAAAACAUUCUAUAGCAAAAUUAAUGCAUUUGGACUGAGUUUGAAUCGAAUCUUCCUGGCUAAGAGCCAGAUUCUGACUACAUCCGUCAGCUAUGAUUAUUGGGUUCCCCAGCCCAUAGCAAAUUGAACAUGGGUUGGGGCUGCUAAGGGCAGCUACUCCGAGGACAAUAGAAGAGAAGCCACGAGUUAGAGUUAGACUGCUGGAAAACCUAUGUGAGAGAUAAAGGAACUCCAGCAAAUAUACUUAUUGGGAAUAUUUGGCAUAAAACCAGAGUCCUACACAGUUAUUUGGAUGAAAUGCUUAUUUCUUUUUUAACAUAAGCAUUGACUGGAAAUAUUGGUUAUUCUGUCUGAUAUUACAUGAAGGUCAGAUGCCCUCCAUGCAACCAUGAGGUCGGAUGGCAGUUUGAUGCUGAACCAGCAAACAAGAAAUGAGAAGGAUGACUUUUUUUCCUCUGUUUGUGGCUCUGCAGGCCGUCAGGGGACCCCACUCCUUUCUCCCUGCAGGCUUCCUCUGCCACUUGCUACUCCUUUGUACUCGUUCCACCUGGCAGUCUGAGGAACACAAACUAAAAUGCAGAACUGCCUCGAUGCGUUUGAGAACAUUCUGUCCUUAUUGUGAAUGCUGACUUGCUCCAAUCAACACAUUUCUUUAACUCCUUUAAAACCAGCUUGUUAGAGCUGUCUACAAUGCCGUGAGGUUCCAACUUCCUCUGAUUAAUUAGGAGGCUCAGAAAUGU